rnacentral:rRNA from 1 species
GACAGCAGCAGCCGCGGUAAUACGGAGGGGGCUAGCGUUGUUCGGAAUCACUGGGCGUAAAGCGCACGUAGGCUGCUAUGUAAGUCAGAGGUGAAAGCCCGGGGCUCAACCCCGGAUGUGCCUUUGAGACUGCAGGGCUAGAACGUCGGAGAGGUGAGUGGAAUUCCGAGUGUAGAGGUGAAAUUCGUAGAUAUUCGGAAGAACACCAGUGGCGAAGGCGGCUCACUGGACGACUGUUGACGCUGAGGCACGAAAGCGUGGGGAGCAAACAGGAUUAGAUACCCCAGUAGUCCCUGUCUCUUAUAC